GACUCGGUAGCGGAGGGUCCGCGUCCACCUUGUGUGUGCGAUUGCAUUCACCCUUCAUGUGGGAGUCGCCUGUUCGAUUCAGGCCCGAGUUA